GCUCAAGUUUACAUAAUUAAAUGUAAAAAUACGAUUACAAAGUAUAUAUGUACAUUAAAUUAAAAAUUUAGAAUAUCUCACUACAAAAGUGCGUCCCACUUUCGAAUACAGGACGGAAGAAAACUGUCUUGAAAACGUUUCGUUCUGCAUUUAACAAGAUCAGUGAAAUUUUCCGUGAAUGUCUAAGGCCUGUUUCAAACGUCGCGCUAGGCAUUUCAGUUAAUUAUCUAUUGUUUUUAAUGUGUUAGGCACAUGAGAAGCGCGACGUUUGAAACAGGCCUAAGCCAAGGUUGUAAUGUCAAUCACUGAUAGGAUCAGGAAACAAGUCGUGUUUACUUGAAGGAUUCAGAUUACGUUUACAGCACAAUAAAAUGUGGUGUCCCACAAUGAAAACUUGGAAAGUAUGAUUAACACUGAUUUGAAUACGAAUGGUAUGAAUGAAUGGCUCAUAGCUAUAAUCGGCUCAGUUUAAACAUCAUUAAUUAAGACUGAACAUAUGAUAGGCUCGGCACCCAAAAUAAAUAGUAAACUGAGGCCUGUUUCAAACGUCGCGCUUCUCAUGUCCCGAACGCAUUAGAAACAAUAGGUAUAAUCUACCGCCGAGCCUGCUUCGUACAUAGGAAAUACGAGACUGAAAAGAUUAAAUGUAAGAAAACUCUUGUAGUUAUCCUUGAUAAAAAUCUGAGAUGGCGUGAGCAGGUAGACAAUAUAGCUAAAAAGGUCAAAAAAGGACUUGGUGUGCUUAGAAAAAUCCAUAACUUUAAUGUCUUCAACUUGCUGGCACAGGCUAACUUUUAGAGAGGAGUGCCACACGGGACACUAGGCAUAUUCCAGCAAAGGGCGUAUAAAACAGCAGAAAACCGAACAGAGAUCUUUAGGAGGAACUUCACUACGUCUUAAGAUACUCAGAUCAAAAAGGCGUUUACUUGCUUUGGAUUAAAUAUGAUCGAUAUGGGUGGAUCACUUGAGAUCAGAGCCGCAGUGGACAGAUAGACGUUUAGCAGAUUUUGAUUUUGUUAAUUGUUCUCUCGAGGGGUUGGUUGUUGACAAGCAGAGGCUGUAAUGGUGGUUGAUCUAUUUCAUGAAGGAAACGAUAAACUUCUUUGUCUUCUUCCAUGUUUCUGGUAGAGGUCCAUCGUCCCAUGGAGUAACUUGGCCACAUCAUUGGAGUGCAAGGAGAUUAUUUCGGACAUGGUUACGUCAUCAACGAACUUCUAUACAUUGCCACAAAUGUUGCGGAAAUUAGUUCCAUUUAGUGGGUAUUUUAGACCUGUGUAGACAUUUUUUAUAUACC